AUGACAUUACUGGGAUGGUUCUAUACUAGUUCUAAUACUAGUUACCUAAUAACAUUACUGGGAUGGUUCUAUACUAGUUACCUAAUGACAUUUCUGGGAUGGACUAGUUACCUAAUGACAUUACUGGGAUGGUUCUAUACUAGUUACCUAAUAACAUUACUGGGAUGGAGUAGUAACCUAAUGACAUUACUGGGAUGGUUCUAUACUAGUUACCUAAUGACAUUACUGGGAUGGUUCUAUAUUAGUUACCUAAUGACAUUACUGGGAGGGUUCUAUACUAGUUACCUAAUAACAUUACUGGGAUGGUUCUAUACUAGUUCUAAUACUAGUUACCUAAUAACAUUACUGGGAUGGUUCUAUACUAGUUCUAAUACUAGUUACCUAAUAACAUUACUGGGAUGGUUCUAUACUAGUUCUAAUACUAGUUACCUAAUGACAUUACUGGGAUGGUUCUAUACUAGUUACCUAAUGACAUUACUGGGAUGGUUCUAUACUAGUUACCUAAUGACAUUACUGGGAUGGUUCUAUACUAGUUCUAAUACUAGUUACCUAAUGACAUUACUGGGAUGGUUCUAUACUAGUUACCUAAUGACAUUACUUGGAUGGUUCUAUACUAGUUACCUAAUAACAUUACUGGGAUGGUUCUAUACUAGUUCUAAUACUAGUUACCUAAUAACAUUACUGGGAUGGUUCUAUACUAGUUCUAAUACUAGUUACCUAAUAACAUUACUGGGAUGGUUCUAUACUAGUUCUAAUACUAGUUACCUAAUGACAUUACUGGGAUGGUUCUAUACUAGUUACCUAAUGACAUUACUGGGAUGGUUCUAUACUAGUUCUAAUACUAGUUACCUAAUGACAUUACUGGGAUGGUUCUAUACUAGUUACCUAAUGACAUUACUGGGAUGGUUCUAUACUAGUUACCUAAUGACAUUACUGGGAUGGUUCAAUACUAGUUACCUAAUGACAUUACUGGGAUGGUUCUAUACUAGUUACCUAAUAACAUUACUGGGAUGGUUCUAUACUAGUUACCUAAUGACAUUACUGGGAUGGUUCAAUACUAGUUACCUAAUGACAUUACUGGGAUGGACUAGUUACCUAAUGACAUUACUGGGAUGGACUAGUUACCUAAUGACAUUACUGGGAUGGCCCCUUGGUUCUAUAUUAGUUACCUAA
rnacentral:lncRNA from 1 species